GGAUCAUGAAUGUAUUGAGUGAACGACGUCUGAGCUAAAUAUUAACUACCUGGAACUUGGUGCGUUUCCUGGAGCUCAGAGGACGCGUGUUUACCUGGUCGAUUAGGCCCUGAACACAGACCCUGAACCCAGACACCGUAAUCACAGACCCUGUGUUUAAUUAGCCCUGAAUAUAAUUUUUGGGUUAAAAAUAAACCCCGGAUGUUUAUGAAACCUAGAAACAUCCCUGCCAUCGACGGCGUUCCCAUCGACGUGCCGGACGUCAGGUGGCGGAGGACGGGGUCCGACGGAUGGCAGGGGGCCACAAAGGGCCUCCAACGCCCCCCACUCCAGCUCAUACUUAGCCAUUAUCCUGUGUACUUAUACUCAUACUGAGCCAUUAUCCUGUGUACUUAUACUCGUACUGAGCCAGUAACCUGUGUACUUAUACUCAUACUGAGCCAGUAACCUGUGUACUCAUACUGAGCUAGUAUCCUGUGUACAUAUACUCAUUCUGAGCCAGUAUCCUGUGUACUGAUACUCAUACUGAGCCAGUAUCCGGGGUACUUAUACUCAUACUUAGGCAGUGUCCUGUGUACUUAUACUCAGUGGAAUCACAAGGCUGUUUUAUUCGGGGCUAAAGUGCCGGAUAUUAUUUAAUUAGCCCU
ensembl:lncRNA